GGUACAAGGGGUAUCAGCUGGUGCCCGGGAGGUACCUGGGAACGGCGGGGGUCUCCCCUGGGUCCCUGGGAGGGGGGGGAUCUCCCCGGGGGGUACAAGGGGUAUCACCUGGUGCCCGGGAGGUACCUGGGAACGGCGGGGGUCUCCCCUGGGUCCCUGGGAGGGGGGGGAUCUCCCCGGGGGGUACAAGGGGUAUCAGCUGGUGCCCGGGAGGUACCUGGGAACGGCGGGGGGCUCCCCUGGGUCCCUGGGAGGGGGGGGAUCUCCCCGGAGGGUACAAGGGGUAUCAGCUGGUGCCCGGGAGGUACCUGGGAACG